ensembl:lncRNA
CGUUGACGCAGCAUACAGAAGAAAACACGCAGUGAAGGAGCUUAGGCAAUGAUCUCAGCAGAAAGGAUUACAGAGAUCAAUUGUACCUGAAGACAGACUCUUUCCUGCUCUCCAAGGACCGUUUGUGAGAAGCAGUGCCUCACCAGGGAACCGUCUCACACAUCCUGUAUCUGGCCUAACUCCCACCCCCUCCUUCCCAUGAAUGAUCUGAGGGAACAGCGUGGAGUUGCAUGGAGGUCAGGUUUGGGAUUACGAAAAGCUUCUUCACCAGAGGAGGUCAGGCAGUGGAACAAGUGCCCGAGUGCAAGGAGCAUCUGGACAAUGGUCUCAAACGUAGGGUUUGAAAUUUGGGUGGUCCUGUACAGAGCCAGGGGUUGGACUCGAUGAUCCAUGUUGGUCCCC